CAGUCGCCGCGGGAAUACGUAGGGUGCAAGCGUUAAUCGGAAUUACUGGGCGUAAAGCGUGCGCAGGCGGUUAUAUAAGACAGAUGUGAAAUCCCCGGGCUCAACCUGGGAACUGCAUUUGUGACUGUAUAGCUAGAGUACGGCAGAGGGGGAUGGAAUUCCGCGUGUAGCAGUGAAAUGCGUAGAUAUGCGGAGGAACACCGAUGGCGAAGGCAAUCCCCUGGGCCUGUACUGACUCUCAUGCACGAAAGCGUGGGGAGCAAACAGGAUUAGAUACCCCUGUAGUCCCUGUCUCUUAUAC
rnacentral:rRNA from 1 species